rnacentral:pre_miRNA from 1 species
AGGAACAUCGGUAGCAGUGGCCAGCUCUCCAGCCCUGGAGUCAGCUCCUGCAGUAACUAGGGAGCUGUCAGUCUGCAGGGCCUGGAUGCUCCAGGGCGGG